rnacentral:lncRNA from 1 species
UAUAUACUAGUUACACUAUAGCAUAAUGAGUAGUAUCAGUUAUACACUAGUUACACUAUAGCAUAAUGAGUAGUAUCAGUUAUGCACUAGUUACACUAUAGCAUAAUGAGUAGUAUUAGUUAUAUACUAGUUACACUAUAGCAUAAUGAGUAGUAUCAGUUAUACACUAGUUACACUAUAGCAUAAUGAGUAGUAUCAGUUCUGCACUAGUUACACUAUAGCAUAAUGAGUAGUAUCAGUUAUACACUAGUUACACUAUCGCAUAAUGAGUAGUAUUAGUUAUAUACUAGUUACACUAUAGCAUAAUGAGUAGUAUUAGUUAUAUACUAGUUACACUAUAGCAUAAUGAGUAGUAUCAGUUAUAUACUAGUUACACUAUAGCAUAAUGAGUAGUAUCAGUUAUACACUAGUUACACUAUAGCAUAAUGAGUAGUAUCAGUUAUACACUAGUUACACUAUAGCAUAAUGAGUAGUAUCAGUUAUACACUAGUUACACUAUAGCAUAAUGAGUAGUAUCAGUUAUACACUAGUUACACUAUAGCAUAAUGAGUAGUAUCAGUUAUACACUAGUUACACUAUCGCAUAAUGAGUAGUAUCAGUUAUUUUGAAGUUUAGGCUUUUUCCAAAGUGUUCCGAUAACAUUGACAUGUCCAUGUUUUUGAACAAUGCAGAAAUAUCUAGCAAUACAAUAAUAACAACACAAACAUAAUAACUAUAUAUAUAUAUAUAUAUAUAUAUAUAGUUAUUAUGGCCUCCCUUUUACUUGCCUGGUCCUGACUUUGAAACCUGAAGACUGAAAACAACAAAAGAACAAAGCCAUUUAAAAGGAAGUACACUGCUUUAAUCCACGAUUUGAAAGUAGAAAAUAAGAUAUUGUUGAAAAAGAUGAGUUUCACUGGAUCAAAAGGUGAUGCUAAUGUAUGUUUCCAGCAGCAGUGUCCCUAAUGCUGCAGGGUCUCAUCGUUCCUUCUCUAUGUUGGACUGAACUGUUUCAUCUCUUCACAAGUGAAUUCCUCAAAGCCAUAAAGUGGGGGAGAAGGAGACCAUCUACAGUAUGACAGGAGCAAAGGUGUUCACCCAGAGAAGGAGACCAUCUACAGUAUGACAGGAGCAGAGGUGUUCACCCAGAGAAGGAGACCAUCUACAGUAGACAGGAGCAGAGGUGUUCACCCAGAGAAGGAGACCGUCUACAGUAUGACAGGAGCAGAGGUGUUCACCCAGAGAAGGAGACCGUCUACAGUAUGACAGGAGCAGAGGUGUUCACUUGAGGAGUCUUCUCGGUCAAGAUAAGAUUUCCUGCUUGCCAUACUAGAGGGAGAUACUGGUUAUCUUUCAACUCCACACCAUGGGAUGAUUGACCUGGAUCUUAACCAGAACAGACUUCACCAGACACAGUAGAAGUGAGGUCACAGGAAACAGACUGAUUUGUGAAGAGGGACUACAUCACCCAGAAAGCAUUGUGUCCCUGGAGGCCAGAGCUUUGUUGGAUGUAAUGCCUUGUUCUCAACCUCUGAGUGUUCGGAAAUAAGACUUGUAAACUCGGUGCAUUCACGUACCUUGAACCAAGGUCAACCAUAAACUAACAGUACAGCUAUCAUGCUGGUAUGAAACGGCAGUUGAAAAUAGGUUUUCUAGAUCAGUCCAAACAUUCCUCCUGACUGUUAUAAUCAACAUGUUUGAAUGCUAAAAUGAUAUGGGACAUUUUUCUAUUGCAACGCUUGAAUCACGUUCAUAUUUUUGGUUAUAACCCGCACAACUUUUCAGCUCUUGGUUGUUUGCUUUUAAAAAUAGUUUUUAGUACUAACUUUUGUUUGUUUACAUUAAACUACUAGUUUUUGUUGUUUCCACUAAGACUGUAAUGUCAUUGUAAUUGGCAACAGUGUGGUGUUUUUGGGGUGAUUUUAACUCACAUCUCUAAAGAUAAACCACUCCAGUUCUUAGUCCAUGAAAAGAGGUUGAUUUAAUAGUUAAUGGUAACUUGAUAUAGCUCCUUGUGGUUUGACAUUCAUAUGGUCCCCCUGCCUGUGUGGGAUCGAAUCCCGGCCUCUGUAUCUCCACUUUAUUCAUAUCUGUCACAAUAAAC